rnacentral:rRNA from 1 species
GAUGAACGCUGGCGGCAGGCCUAACACAUGCAAGUCGAGCGGAAUGACUCUUUCGUGGCUCGGAGACCGGCGGACGGGUGCGUAACGCGUACGUAACUUACCCCAUCCUCUGGGAUAGCCCUUCGAAAGGAGGAUUAAUACCGGUUAACACUAAUGUGGUCAUCCACUUUGGUUGAAAGAUUUAUCGGGAUGUGAUGGACAUGCGUGAGAUUGUCUAGCUGGAUAGGUAAGAGCUUACCAAGGCGGGGAUCUGUAGGGGGCCUGCGGGGGUGCCCCCCCAGACGGGUACUGAGACACGGACCAGUCUCCUACGGAGCGGAGCAGUAAGGAAUAUAGGACGAUGGAUGAGGGCGUGAUCCAGCCAUGCCGGGUGCAGGAAGACUGCGCUAUGGAUGGUAAACUGCUUUUGUAGAAGAAUAAUCCACCUUACGGGUCGGGUGUUGAAGGUACCAUACGAAUAAGCACCGGCUAACUACGUG